rnacentral:rRNA from 1 species
AUUGAACGCUGGCGGCAGGCCUAACACAUGCAAGUCGAACGAUAAGCCACCUUCGGGUGGUGGACAGUGGCAGACGGGUGAGUAACGCGUGGGAACGUGCCUUUCGGUUCGGGAUAACCCAGGGAAACUUGGGCUAAUACCGGAUACGCCCUUCGGGGGAAAGAUUCAUUGCCGAAAGAUCGGCCCGCGUCGGAUUAGCUUGUUGGUGGGGUAAUGGCCUACCAAGGCGACGAUCCGUAGCUGGUCUGAGAGGAUGACCAGCCACACUGGGACUGAGACACGGCCCAGACUCCUACGGGAGGCAGCAGUGGGGAAUAUUGGACAAUGGGCGAAAGCCUGAUCCAGCCAUGCCGCGUGGGUGAAGAAGGCCUUAGGGUUGUAAACCCCUUUCAGCGGGGACGAUAAUGACGGUACCCGCAGAAGAAGUCCCGGCUAACUCCGUGCCAGCCGCCGCCGUAA